UGUGGUCGCCUGUGACUGCUGGAGAUAGA
rnacentral:piRNA from 1 species